UGGGGAAUAUUGCACAAUGGGGGAAACCCUGAUGCAGCGACGCCGCGUGAGCGAAGAAGGCUUUCGAGUCGUAAAGUUCUGUCCUAUGAGAAGAUAAUGACGGUAUCAUAGGAGGAAGCCCUGGCUAAAUACGUGCCAGCAGCCGCGGUAAUACGUAUGGGGCGAGCGUUGUCCGGAAUUAUUGGGCGUAAAGGGUACGUAGGCGGUUUUUUAAGUCAGGUGUCAAAGCGUGGAGCUUAACUCCAUUACGCACUUGAAACUGAAAGACUUGAGUGAAGGCGAGGAAAGUGGAAUUCCUAGUGUAGCGGUGGAAUGCGUAGAUAUUAAGAAGAACACCGGUGGCGAAGGCGACUUUCUGAACUUGUACUGACGCUGGGGCACGAAAGCGUGGGGGGCAAACAGG
rnacentral:rRNA from 1 species